rnacentral:rRNA from 1 species
ACGGGAGGCAGCAGUGGGGGAUAUUGCACAAUGGGGGAAACCCUGAUGCAGCGACGCCGCGUGAGGGAAGAAGGUUUUCGGAUUGUAAACCUCUGUCUUCAGUGACGAAAUGAGGCGGUAACUGAGGAGGAAGCCACGGCUAACUACGUGCCAGCAGCCGCGGUAAUACGUAGGUGGCAAGCGUUGUCCGGAAUUACUGGGUGUAAAGGGAGCGUAGGCGGGGAGACAAGUCGGGUGUUAAAUCUAUCGGCUCAACUGGUAGCAGCACUCGAAACUGUAACUCUUGAGUGAAGUAGAGGUAAGCGGAAUUCCUAGUGUAGCGGUGAAAUGCGUAAAUAUUAGGAGGAACACCAGUGGCGAAGGCGGCUUACUGGGCUUUAACUGACGCUGAGGCUCGAAAGCAUGGGUAGCAAACAGGAUUAGAUACCCUGGUA